rnacentral:rRNA from 1 species
CGAAGGGCGUAGCGUUGCUCGGAAUUACUGGGCGUAAAGGGCGCGUAGGCGGCCUUGCAAGUCAGGCGUGAAAUUCCUGGGCUUAACCUGGGGCUGCGCUUGAGACUGUGGGCUUGAGGGUGGAAGAGGGUCGCGGAAUUCCCAGUGUAGAGGUGAAAUUCGUAGAUAUUGGGAAGAACACCGGUGGCGAAGGCGGCGACCUGGUCCAUUACUGACGCUGAGGCGCGACAGCGUGGGGAGCAAACAGGAUU